rnacentral:rRNA from 1 species
GACGAACGCUGGCGGCGUGCUUAACACAUGCAAGUCGAACGGAAAGGCCCUGCUUUUGUGGGGUGCUCGAGUGGCGAACGGGUGAGUAACACGUGAGUAACCUGCCCUUGACUUUGGGAUAACUUCAGGAAACUGGGGCUAAUACCGGAUAGGAGCUCCUGCUGCAUGGUGGGGGUUGGAAAGUUUCGGCGGUUGGGGAUGGACUCGCGGCUUAUCAGCUUGUUGGUGGGGUAGUGGCUUACCAAGGCUUUGACGGGUAGCCGGCCUGAGAGGGUGACCGGCCACAUUGGGACUGAGAUACGGCCCAGACUCCUACGGGAGGCAGCAGUGGGGAAUAUUGCACAAUGGGCGGAAGCCUGAUGCAGCAACGCCGCGUGCGGGAUGACGGCCUUCGGGUUGUAAACUGCUUUCGCCUGUGACGAAGCGUGAGUGACGGUAAUGGGUAAAGAAGCACCGGCUAACUACGUGCCAGCAGCCGCGGUGAUACGUAGGGUGCGAGCGUUGUCCGGAUUUAUUGGGCGUAAAGGGCUCGUAGGUGGUUGAUCGCGUCGGAAGUGUAAUCUUGGGGCUUAACCCUGAGCGUGCUUUCGAUACGGGUUGACUUGAGGAAGGUAGGGGAGAAUGGAAUUCCUGGUGGAGCGGUGGAAUGCGCAGAUAUCAGGAGGAACACCAGUGGCGAAGGCGGUUCUCUGGGCCUUUCCUGACGCUGAGGAGCGAAAGCGUGGGGAGCGAACAGGCUUAGAUACCCUGGUAGUCCACGCUGUAAACGGUGGGUACUAGGUGUGGGGUCCAUUCCACGGGUUCCGUGCCGUAGCUAACGCUUUAAGUACCCCGCCUGGGGAGUACGGCCGCAAGGCUAAAACUCAAAGGAAUUGACGGGGCCCCGCACAAGCGGCGGAGCAUGCGGAUUAAUUCGAUGCAACGCGUAGAACCUUACCUGGGUUUGACAUGGAUCGGGAGUGCUCAGAGAUGGGUGUGCCUCUUUUGGGGUCGGUUCACAGGUGGUGCAUGGCUGUCGUCAGCUCGUGUCGUGAGAUGUUGGGUUAAGUCCCGCAACGAGCGCAACCCUUGUUCACUGUUGCCAGCACGUUAUGGUGGGGACUCAGUGGAGACCGCCGGGGUCAACUCGGAGGAAGGUGGGGAUGACGUCAAGUCAUCAUGCCCCUUAUGUCCAGGGCUUCACGCAUGCUACAAUGGCUGGUACAGAGAGUGGCGAGCCUGUGAGGGUGAGCGAAUCUCGGAAAGCCGGUCUCAGUUCGGAUUGGGGUCUGCAACUCGACCUCAUGAAGUCGGAGUCGCUAGUAAUCGCAGAUCAGCAACGCUGCGGUGAAUACGUUCCCGGGGCU